rnacentral:misc_RNA from 1 species
GUUUUUAGAUCCUGAGAGUCAGAUGCAUCAUAUUGUGCAAGAGCAUAUGGGGAGUCUUAUACCUAAAAUGCAGGCAGUUUUGCCUCGGGGUGUUGAUAAUGAAUGGGUCGAGAUGGUUCUUAAUUGUUCUUGGAAGCCACUGGAUGUUUCAUCUGCAGUGAAGAUGCUUGGAAGUCAAGGGAAAGGCGAGGAUGCAGACCUUGUUGAGGAUUUUUGCUCAGGGGGUCAUAAUGAGGAGC